rnacentral:misc_RNA from 1 species
AAGGGUUGGUUUAUAGGAUUGAGUAGCUGUGUGAUCAUGGUGCCAUCGUAAUGAGCUGCUAUGAACAUUUUCAUUGUGAACAUUUUGUCAUAGGUUAACGUGUUGCGUAGAACAUUUUCUGUUGGGAACAUCUAUGUGCUGAAAUAAUCGUGUUCUAGCUUUAUGCUUUUGAAAAGAUUUGAAGCUUAAAUAAGACUUGUCAUUUUAUGACUGCUUUCUGAUUCUUGAAGUUGAGAAGAAAAAUACAUUUUGAACUUGAAGGUUCAUUAUAACUAAAAAGAAUAUUUUUUUGAUGAGAAGGAUACACAAUUUAGAAAAGUAAUUGGUGGACCAUAAUUUGCGGUAGA